rnacentral:tRNA from 1 species
GUGGAUGUGGUUCAGUGGUAGAGUCAAUGCUUAGUAUGCCUAAGACCCUGGGUUUGAUUCCCAGUACCAACA